CGGCGCGCGACCAUGGCCCGGUCGCUGGUGCAGGCGUGCCGCAGCCUGGCCCUCUCAACAUGGCUGCUUUCCUUUUGUUUCGUGCAUCUGCUGUGCCUGGACUUCACGGUGGCCGAGAAGGAGGAGUGGUACACCGCCUUCGUGAACAUCACCUACGCCGAGCCCGCGCCCGACCCGGCGUCGGGGCCGGGGCCGGGGCCGGGGGCGGGGGCGGGGGCGGGGGCGGGGUCCGGGGCGGCGGGCGGCGGCGGCCCCGAGCUGCGCAGCGAGCGCUCCGAGUGCGGGCGCUACGGGGAGCACUCGCCCAAGCAGGACGCCCGCGGCCAGGUGGUCAUGGCCAGCGCCGCGCACGACCGCCUGGCCUGCGACCCCGGCACCAGGUUCGCCGCCCCGGGCCGCGGCCGCAGCUGGAUAGCCCUCAUCCCCAAGGGCAACUGCACGUACCGGGACAAGAUCCGCAACGCCUUCCUGCAGAACGCCUCGGCCGUGGUCAUCUUCAACGUGGGCUCCGGCACCAACGACACCGUCACCAUGUCCCACGCAGGCGUAGAAGACAUCGUGGCAAUAAUGAUCCCUGAGCCGAAGGGGAAGGAGAUAGUGAGCCUGCUGGAAAGGAACAUCACGGUGACGAUGUACAUCACCAUCGGGACCCGGAACCUGCAGAAAUACGUGAGCCGCACUUCGGUUGUGUUUGUCUCCAUCUCCUUCAUCGUCCUGAUGAUCAUAUCCCUCGCGUGGCUGGUGUUUUAUUAUAUCCAGAGGUUUCGAUAUGCAAAUGCCCGGGACAGGAAUCAGCGCCGACUGGGAGAUGCUGCAAAGAAAGCGAUCAGCAAGCUCCAGGUCAGAACCAUCAAGAAGGGUGACAAGGAAACAGAGCCCGAUUUUGAUAACUGUGCAGUUUGCAUUGAAGGGUACAAGCCCAAUGAUGUCGUCCGGAUUUUGCCCUGCCGGCAUCUUUUCCACAAAUCCUGUGUUGACCCCUGGCUUCUAGACCAUCGUACCUGUCCCAUGUGCAAGAUGAACAUUCUUAAAGCCCUAGGGAUCCCGCCCAAUGCCGACUGCAUGGACGACCUGCCCACCGACUUCGAGGGGUCCCUGGGAGGCCCGCCCACCAACCAGAUCACGGGCGCCAGCGACACGACUGUAAACGAAAGUUCAGUCACUCUGGACCCUGCCGUGCGGACCGUGGGAGCCUUGCAGGUGGUUCCGGACGCGGAGCCCACCCCGCAGGACGGAGAGGUCGUCUUUACCGCCAAUGGCGAGCCGGAGCCGGCUGUCAGCAGCGACUCUGACAUCUCGCUGAUCAUGGCAAUGGAAGUCGGGCUGUCGGACGUGGAGCUCUCCACCGACCCAGACUGCGACGAGGCGAAAUCCUGAGCCGGUGACCGUCGGAGAAGGGGCCCCGGCGGACGGAGGGAGGUGUGCCUCGAGAAUGGACGGGCCCGCGGCCUGCACGACCUCCCGGGCCCGGCCAUCGGGGCCGCCUUUCCCCCCGGGCCCUCGUGGGCUGGCGCCUCGGGAGCUCGCGACACGCGCACAGGGGACACGGGUCAGGCCUCUGCAUCUUGCCUCCUCUAUUUCCAGGUCUUGUUUCAUCGUUCGGGGAAUGUGGUUCGGUUUCCUUGGCGGCUUCGGGUUAGAGGCCGUGAGCCGUUUCCAUGGGCCCGGCCUCCUGGGGGGUGGCACCCAGGGGCGCCCAGGCCUGGCCACCCACGGCCCAAAGCGCGGGGCUCCGGGGGGCGCCCGCCCCACUCCCGGCCGGCCCUCGGGAAGAACCCGAGCUCCUGCGGGGGCAUCCUAAGCACCCUGGCUGCGGAGACCCCAGCCCGGGCGCCGACCCCGCCGCGCCUGCGGCCCACCCUGGGCACCGCAGCCCUCCGCCCCCCUUGCCAGGCCCUGCUGACAGCCCACGUGAGAAGGAAGCGUCACUGUGCCUGGAACUUCGGGUCUUGGACAGGAAUGCCACACUCAGAGGUCCCCUCCGGGCCACUGGCGCUGCCGUCGCGACUGUAGGACUGUAGCCGGCACUGCAGGCCUGGCUUUAAGGCCAGAGCCACGUGUUCUUCCCCAAAGCGCGGUGUCUGUUAGCUUGGUCUCCCCCGGGCCAGAGCAGUCUUCUGUUUCCUCCACGAGUGGCCUCCGCAGGAGACGGAGGCUGCAGAGGAGACCCGGUCCUCCUUGAGCCCAGGGCCCGACACAGCGGGGCCGGGUAGCACCUAGCUGGCACCCACCGCCCACACGCGGCAGGCCGCCCGGAAGGCCUAGGUGACUCCUUAGCAGCCCCCUGCCCAGGGCUCACCGAGGACAGCGAGUGAGGAGGGAUGUGCGGUUUGAUGAACCAUUUGAUCCAGAAGUCGGCGAGGGCUUUGGCUAACCAAGCUUCUCCCGGCGGAGACAGACGGGCAGACAGGAGAGGACGCGUCAGAUCAAUACUGAACCCACCGGUGUUUUUAAACUACUUACGUUUUUAUUCUUUUUUUGUAACUAUGACGGAGAUGUGCUAUUUUUCCAGUGGGCGAUUUUGUAACACACUUAGACUAUCCCGACGCGGAGAUGACUGAGGCAGCGAGUGGCUUCCCCGGACAACCACGAGGCCCCCCGUCCUCCGGAGACGGCCGUGCGGCCGCGUGGGUUGCCAAGACGGAGAGCCUUCCUCGCGGACUCACUUACGUCUUCGACGAGGCCUUGCCACCUCACUACACUAAGACUCAUCCAAAGACAAGAGCUCGGUUGUGUCGUAGACCCCGCUGCCUCGGAAACACGGGGCGUACGUCAAGGGAGAGCAUGUCAGACUACUGGCUGCCCCUUUCUCGGCACCUUUAACGGUUUCCUGUGGGAUGCUCCCUGGGUGGGCAGCGAGGCAGAGAAAAUGACCACCACCCUCGGGAAUGUCACCUCCCCCUGGGAUGACACUUCCUGCAAUGGAACCCGGCCAGUGUGCAAAGGCGGGCGGGGAGGAGCAAGGACGUCACUGAACGGAGAAGCGGGAGUCCCGGCCGAGCCACAGGCUGGUGGGCCUCGUCGCCUCCACCUGUGAAAUGAAGGAGUUAAAUGAGAUGGUGGCCAAGGCCCCUUCUGACCUGAGGACCGCUAGCGAGCUCUCUGCCAGGGGGAGCCAUGUGCUUGCAGGUGGCCGUGCCCUCAUGCCCUAGGGAGGCGGUUCCUUGACAGGCAACACGCUAAUGGCCUCUGGGCCCCUGCGCUCCUGUGAGGCUGAGUGUCCAAAUGCUUCAAGGUUUAAGUCCAAGUAGGAGUGGUUUUGUUUAGCCUGGUGUUAAACCCACCGUCUGUCACAGAGUUUGUGAUCUCUGGACACCUUCACACCCCAGUCCUCAGUGUAGACUUCUUCAUCGCAAAGUGUUGCCUUCCCUCGGUCAGCGUAGGGUUCCAGCGUGGACUCCUUCAGUCAGCAAUGCCUGAAACGCACUUCGGUACUCGCGGACGUCAGGUGGAAUCAGAAGGAUGAUUCAAGAGCAAGAGAAAUACAGAUUGCAUCCCACACCCGGGAGGGAAAAUGCCUUUGGAUCGAAUACUUGUCCGUUUGAUGAGUGUCCCCUCUUCCUGCCAGUGACCAGCUCCAGGCCCUUUGUAAUGGGAACGGUAAUUGGUAAAAACCCAUAGAUUGGUAGCCACACUUCCACUUGGACCCUUUUGAUGACACGAAAUUAUCCCAAAACUAAAGAGGUGACUCCGGGUCCUAGAUGUAGAUCCAUAGAGAUCAAUGGCAAAACCUGCUUGUUGUGCGAAGAACUCGGUGAGGUCGCUCACAGCUCUCUUUGCCACCCUGCGAACUAUGCCUGCCUCAGUCAAGGGGCUUUUGCAGGAAUCUCAGUGAUCAAAGACCUUUCAUCCUUGUGCUACUAUUGAUGGACGUUUGCAGUUCCUCCAGAGCCAUUCGCUCAAUGGUCACCUGGUAAAUGUUUCCGGAUGCUAACGAUAAGGCAAGAACCUAGUCUCUGGAGAGGUCUGCGAGUCGGUACGGAGCCCGGGGGAGCUUCUGUGGAGAAGCAGCUCCACCCAGAUACCCCAGGAUCACCGCUUGGCAGAGAGGUCUGUGGGCCUGUCGUCCUCACUGGAUUGAAGGGCUUGGAGACGCAGGGAAAACGUGGGGACCACGUGUGCUCUGUAAACCAAAGACCGAUCACCAUCCACAUGGACACGCAUUCUUCCAUUGACUAGUUUCAUUUUUUCCUAAUAUUCCCAUGAAUAAAAGUGCAGGUGCGUUGCCUGGUCAGAUGAAACGGUGGAACUGUAGAGGGUUUAUCUCUUGCAGGCUGGUGAUCGACCUUACUAAAUCCCACAAUCUUAAAAAAAAAAUGUAUUGUGGCCUUAGUACCACAGCAUCUUCAAAGUCUGGUGUUUAGUCUCCUUUUCCCUCAAAAAGUUUGAGGCAAAACUAGUGCUUUAUCGAACUCGGAAUACUGUUGUCUUUGAGAAUGUGAAGAUUUUUACCUCGCCAAAGAAUGUUCGUGGAGGAGAGCUUCUUAAUUAGGGCGUAUCCGUGCUUUUGAAGAGAAUACCAAACCCUUGCUCGUCGGGAUGGAGACUGGAGCAGUUGAGGAAGGCUGGCCGGCCUUCCUUUGGUGGCAUCCGUGGUACUAAGUCACUAGGCAGUCACUGCACGGGGCAGGGUGCCCUCUGCUGGAAUAACCGCCGUUAUUCUUUCAGCCAAGUCAUUUGACCAGGGUCCCCGUUUCCUCAACUAAUUAUUGGCCUGUCAACUAGUUAUUGGCCUGUCCUCAUACAGUUUCCCCAAUAGUUGAGAACUUGGCCCACAUUUAUGCAAAGGGGAAGGAGUGUCACAAGCUCAGAAGCGUUGAAGAAGAGCCCCACGGAAGAGCUCACCGCCUGCAGCCCUUUCUGCAAAAUGUCAAAGCGUGUUGUUGGCUGUGUUUGCAGAGAAGAUGCCUCUGGCCCCAACAUCGUAAGGCAGGGGCCCGAGUGUUUUGUGACUUAUCUCCACUCUCUUCUUGUCAAAUCACAAAGGAAGAUCAAUAAACAGACGUCUUUCAUAUGAAUGUCAAUGGUGUGACACACUGGUGUGUUUUGUACGUGUACAUAAUAACACAUUUACUUCCUGCUUUCGCGUUAGUAAUCCGAAAUGGUUGUACCAUUUUAUAACUCGGAAGAGAUGUAGGGGUAGGGGAGGGUUGGGGGGAGCUGGUAUUUUUAUAGCAGGGUGUCCCCCUUCUAUUUAGAAAACUUGAAGCAAUUUUGUACUUGUGAAAAAGUCACAUUCCAUUCAUUUCCCAAAAAAUAAGGGGACUUGUUCUCUAAACUAUUCGUGAGCUGGGAGGAUGAUUAUUCUAGUUUCCAGGGGAGCCUCCUGAGCAGUGUAUAUGUGACACCCACUUUUAUAGAUUGCAGACCAUGACCAGCAAAAAUUGCCAUUUCAGUAAUGUGAAAACCAAAAAAAAAAAAACUCUUUUAGCCCCUUUGUAUAUACCACAUUGUUAUUUUCACUGAAAAGAAAAAGUGCUACAAAGAAUUUAUCAUUAUAAAAAUAUUCAGAAAUGGCACCAUAAAUCAACCUCUAGUUUAAUUUCCCUGCUAGCAAGAAAGAAAUCCGAUGGAUUUAUGUUCCUCCCUAAACAUGAAUUUGUGUGCUUUUGUCUUAUAACAAAUGAUGUCGCGGGUAGAAUUUGACUUUGUUUUCUCUACGAGGUCUUUGUGGCCCGUCUGCAGGUCAUACGCGGCGGUGCCAUCAUGCUCUUACCUGUCCCCCUCCCUAGUCAGGUCAUGGGACGGCUUCCUGGAUUUAUUUGCCACAUGACUCAAAGAUCACAAAAAUUAUCCCUGAUGGCAUUUGCACGGGUAGCUUUUAAUUUAGACUUUGGUUAGCUCUUAAGUGCGGAGAAAUUUCGUAGUGGAUUAUGUAGCCUUUUUACCAAAACAUCAUCUUCUGUACAAAGUCACAGGUAUAUUUAAAUGGUUGGUCAAGGAGAUGUAGUUGGUUCGGGGGUUUUGUGGGGAGAAAUCUCUUUCUCUUUCCUUUUUCCGCUCCACAGGCACCUACCUUACUCCUUCCAGAGCACUUUAUCUCUCUCUUGAAAUACACAGAAGUUUAAAAAAACAAAAACAAAAAAAAAUAACAACUGUCUUCUAUUAGGAGACAUGGACUUUUAUUUUGCUUAAUUCUAUUAUCUAUGUGUUUGGAGAGCAUAAACAGUCUGUCUCAUACCGGGCUGGUGAUGAAAUAUUAGGGACAAUAGUUGGAAACACCCAACCCUACAACAUGGCUAUUUUUGUUAUAUAGAAGACUAUAAUGUAAAUAAGUGCAGUUGUGUUCUUAUGUACAGGUAAAAAAAAAAAAUGCAACUAUAAAGAUUUGAAAAGGAUUGUGAAUUCCAGGAAAUUUCAUUGCAAAAUUUUGUUUGGUUUUGUUUUUUAAUAAAAUGGAACCAGAUGCC